UGCUUCGGGCAGCGACGGCGCGCACCUCCCGCUAGUCUUCAUUUCGGCUCGAGUGCGGCACGGCCUCGGCCGAGACCCGGUUUCUUGUGCUGCGUACCCACGCGAAGGGCAUCCUUCUCUCGUCCCAACGGUCCCUCGUUCGUCCGCUGCUCCCCGUCCGCGGCGGGGCACGCGACGAAACUCGUAGCCCGGUCCGUUACCCGCGUCGCCUCCGGCUGUCGCGGUGAGCGGGCACUGCUCGAGCUCUCGGAUGCGGAAAGCACCGUGGGGCGCCUACGACGCGCCCGAGCAAAGCGGUCAGACCCCGACCCAGCAACAGACGACCGUCGCUCCCGUUGCGGCCCGGCCGCGCGGGAAGGACGUCGCCGAGGAAUGCUACCUGGUUGAUCCUGCCAGU
rnacentral:misc_RNA from 1 species